AAAAAGACAAAUACUGAUUUCCGUGUCCAAUGUUUAACCGUCCGUCUUAUUUAAAAAAAUUAAAAAAAAAUAAAAAGAUAAAUCACGAAUAAAGUAUUCAUCAUGUUUUAUCAUCUAACAACAAUAAAAAUACUAAUUAUAAAAAAUUUCAUAUAAUACGGACAGUCAAACGUUGACACGCAAAUCCGCAGUUUGACUUUUU
rfam:Oryza glumipatula chromosome 8, whole genome shotgun sequence.